UACGGAAAGGGAGAAUAUGUUGAUAUGUGGUAAAGUUCUCAACACUCCAAAACCGGAGAGCGUCGGGCCCAUUUCACUCAGUGCUCCCCCACGCGCCCGCCCUGAGCACCCGAUCCACCACCGCGACGGCGAUGAGCACCGCCUCCGGCGAUGGCACGGACGCCGGCGGCGACGAGGCCUCGUCUGCGGCCGCCGGGAGGCGGAUCCCACCUGCCUCUUCCAUGUCGUGGGUACGCAACCUCCGCCGCUUCGUCGGCAUGGGCGCCGGCCUCGGAUCCGAGGCCCUCAUGGAACUGGAGACUAAAAGGAUAUUGCUUGAGAUUUUCAAGGAGCGGCAGCGGAAGAGUGCUGAAGCUGGUUCCAUCCCAAGUUUCUACAAGAAGAAACCUGAAGAAGGAUCUAUUAGCUCUAGAGUUCAAAGGUUGGCCAAGUAUAGGUUUUUAAAGAAACAAUCAGAGAUGCUGCUGAAUGCUGAUGAUCUUGAUGCCAUGUGGGUUUGUCUCAGAGAAAAUUGUGUAAUCGAUGAUGCUACUGGUGCUGAAAAGAUGAAUUAUGAAGAUUUCUGCCAUAUCGCUACAGUCUGCACGGAGCAGAUUGGUCAGAAAUGCAAACGCUUCUUCAGCCCUUCAAACUUCAUGAAGUUUGAGAAGGAUGACUCUGGGAGGAUUGCUAUCCUACCAUUUUAUCUUUAUGUCAUGCGAACAGUUUCUCUUACUCAAGCAAGAAUUGAUAUGAGUGAGCUUGAUGAGGAUUCUGAUGGUUUCCUUCAGCCUCAUGAAAUGGAAGCAUAUAUUAGAGGACUCAUCCCCAAUUUGGCACAAUUGCGUGACAUGCCUACUGCAUUUGUUCAGAUGUUCUGCCGCAUAGCUGCACGCAAGUUCUUUUUCUUCUGUGAUCCACACAAACGGGGGAAAGCAUGCAUAAAGAAAGUGUUGCUGAGCAAUUGUCUUCAGGAGCUAAUGGAACUACAUCAGGAAAGCGAGGAAGAGGUAACUGAUGUCGAGCAGGCAGAAAAUUGGUUUUCCUUAACUUCAGCUCAGCGCAUAUGUGACAUGUUUCUUGCACUAGAUAAGGAUACAAACAGUACACUGAGCAAACAAGAACUCAAGGAAUAUGCAGAUGGCACAUUGACUGAGAUUUUCAUUGAAAGAGUUUUUGAUGAGCAUGUCCGCCGGAGCAAAGUUGGAGGUGGAAACAGUCGCGAGAUGGACUUCGAAAGCUUUCUUGAUUUUGUUUUGGCUCUAGAAAACAAAGAUACCCCUGAAGGCUUGACAUAUUUAUUUAGAUGCCUUGAUCUUAAUGGAAGGGGGUUCCUUACAACUGCAGACAUCCACACUCUAUUUAGUUGCAAUCUUGUUGAAGGACAGGCCUGGUGCACUGGUGAGAGCUAUCUCACGUGUUCGAAGUAGCCUCUCUGCUUUUGCAGGGGGGGAGGCUUACCUCGGUUUAUCCUUUCUGGUAUCCCACUCGUGGGAAUCUCCGGCAUUGGGUCUUCCCGACCAGUUGCAAUCUUGUUAGGCAGUGGCGGAGCACCUGUUAUGGCCAACUAUGGCUUGAGCCAUACCUAAAAGUCAUGUUUGGUGUAGUGGUAAGUUCAUAUUGCUUGCAAUCAACAGGUUCCAGGUUCAAGUCCUAUGUGUUGCAUCAUAUUUUUCUCUUUUUUUGUCCUUCUUCAGCCAUACCUCAUUAUUAUUUUUGUCCUCCACCACUGUUGUUAGACAAGUCAUGGAUGUGACUGAGAAAUAUUAUCCUAGAAGGCUUGAACAGGGGCUGUUCAGUUGCUGUUUUGCUUUUAUGGAAUCUAACUAGCUACAUGUGUAUUUACUAAAUCCUAACUAGCUACAUGUGUAUUUACUAAAUCCUAAACCCUAAAUUCUAAACCCUAAACCCUAACUAGCUACAGGUAUGUCCGCCUCUUCCCUUCCCCUCCUGCUCUACGAAACCUUAGAAGUGGGGGGGGGGGGGGCGAGGGAUGGGGGUCUCUGAUUUGCUGCCUAUGGUACUCGUGCGUUCAUAAAAAUAUUAUGCGAAGAGCGGAGACAAUCAAUAAAAAAUCUUGAGAUCUUUUUGGUGGAUACUUUACGUGGAUAUUGUUGUGAGCCGUCGUAACGCAUGGUUAACCGACUAGUUUAAUUUUAAUCACCAGUUGCAAUCUUGUUGAAGGACAGGCCUGGUGCACUGGUGAGAGCUAUCUCACGUGUUCGAAGUAGCCUCUCUGCUUUUGCAGGGGGGGAGGCUUACCUCGGUUUAUCCUUUCUGGUAUCCCACUCGUGGGAAUCUCCGGCAUUGGGUCUUCCCGACCAGUUGCAAUCUUGUUAGGCAGUGGCGGAGCACCUGUUAUGGCCAACUAUGGCUUGAGCCAUACCUAAAAGUCAUGUUUGGUGUAGUGAGAUGUACACCAGAAAUGGAUUGAGGGCGGGAACUACGAGCUUUGCAUCGAAGAUGUGAGGGAUGAAAUCUGGGACAUGGUGAAGCCCGCAGAUCCUCUCAGGAUCUCGCUAUCAGAUCUUCUUUCUUGCAAGCAAGGCGGGACUAUCGCCAGCAUGCUUGUAGAUGUGCGUGGCUUCUGGGCCCAUGACAACAGGGAGAACCUUCUCCAGGAAGAGGAAGAGCAAGUGGAAGAGACAUGAGUUCUGUUCUCCAGCUGCCAAGUAACUGUAUCCAGAUCCAGUGCAUCAAAACCGCAACAUCCUCGGGAACUGCAUGCACCGCGGUAUCAUUCACUGUAACUUAGCUAGUGUAUUAGAUUCGUCGCCACCUGUUUCCCCUGAAGCUUAUUGUAAAGUGUGCCAUAUUGGUCUUUUGAGGCUAGCGUGGCUUGGCCAUGUUGACAUCUGAACACUAUCCCGAGGGCCUGAUUGAAUGCUCACAGCCUCUGCUGCCUGUAUGUACAUGUAAAUUGUGCCAAGCGCGCAAUCCUGACUACUCUAUAUGUAAAUACAUUGUGUUCAGCUCGUACAUGAUUGUUACGUGGUCUUGAAAGUC